AUAGCGGUGAUGAGCCUCUAACAUGUAAGGAGAAAUCCCCAGUUGGGUUUCUUUAAUGAAAUUUGCUUGUUACGCUUGGCUUCUGAGCUCU
rfam:Glycine max cultivar Williams 82 chromosome 13, whole genome shotgun sequence.